AUCGCCACCACCGACAGCCACCCAACUACAACAUCACCACCACCCGAAUCCAAGUUCCAAUCUAAUCACGUCUGAUUCCUCUAGCCAUUUUGAAACCAUAGAGCUGGCUGCAGCAGGAGUACAGCAGAAUCACGUUGUUGACUGUGCCUGAUCCACUCAAAACCCAAAUUCCUCUCUGCCUCCUCCUUGCAUAAAGGAACACCGCCUAAAAAAAUCCCACCUAUAGCUGACUCCCAAUAUGUGAGCUCUAAGCAUAUUCGUGCUCUUUUAUGUUAUGAUAACCGAUGAUUUUGCCCUGUUUUUGGAGCUCGGUGGACGGCCUCUUAACCUAAAUGCCACCACAUUGCCUGAACUUGUAUUGGAGGUGAUUAGGUCAAAUCCUUGAUGCAUAUUGUCUUUGUUUUCACCAAAAAAUGAACCUUCUGCUUCCAAUUGCAAGCAAUCUGUGAUCAUUCGACAGAAUGCAAGGACCAAGGAGAGACGAUGACAGUGAUGGUGGAACCAGAUCGAACAAUAGAACAAGAGUCAAUAAUUGUUGUUUUCAACUUUGAAAAAUCCAUUCCAAAACUCUGAUUUAUGUUGAUAUCUUUAUAGGACUUCAUCUGUUGAUUUUUGGUGGAUUAGUCAUGUGUUGUUUUGUAGUGGAAAAGAUUUGGGACUGUGACGGUUAUGAUGUUAAUGUGAUCUAUUUUUCUGCUACAGUAACGGCUUGGGGUGGCUAUCGGCGGUGGCAAUUAGGUGGACUGGUUUUGGAGCUGAGGG
rnacentral:lncRNA from 1 species